GGAAGCGGAGGUUGUUCUUCUCGCGGAGUUUCCUCCAGGACUGUAAUAUGCAUCUUUAGGAGAUCUGAUAAAGAAAAGAAAGGAAAGAAUCAAACAUUAAAGAACUGAGAAUGCAACGAAGAUAGAAAGAGAGAGACGAAUAUAGGGAAAGAAGCCAUAUAUAAAAGCAAGAAAUGAGAGGGAGAGACUUACUGAUCCAUUAUUCUUUUAAUCUUUAAAAAUGAAACUUGAUUCUUGAUUGUAGUAGCUUGUAGGGUUUAUGUUGUUCCCUGUAAUAAUGAGAGAGAGAGAGAGAGGGGUAGUUAUAGCUUCUUGAAGGAGCCUCUUUACUCAGUUAAUGAAAAGAAGUUUCCUUUCCUUUUCCUUUCUUUCCUUCUUUCUUUCUUUCUUUCUUCCCUUAUCUUUCUUUGCUUGCUUGCUUGCUUGUAUAGUUGUGUAUAUUUGCCUGUGGGGAUCAGGUUUGUUUUCUGGGAGAAAGAGAGAGAAUAAGAGAUGCUUUGCCUUACUGUGAUUUGCUUUUCUGUUUUUCCUUACAAAAAUAAAAGAGAAUUUGAAUGGGUUAAAAGUGCAGGAAACAGGUGGAGUUUGUUUAAAAUAAAAAAGGAUACAUGUCUUUUUCUUCUUUUUGUAUUUUUAGUUAGACAUUGAAAUUAACUGUUUGUCCAAGAUUCUAAGUUUUCUU
rnacentral:lncRNA from 1 species